CAGCUUUUUCAGUGUGUGUGUGUGUCGUGGACACCAUAUUUUUGGUGUCCAAGAAAAAUAAUUACUGCUGUUGUUGUUUCUUCUUCUUAAGAUGCAAAUUCAUCAAAUGUUUCUCUGUGUCUAUCUGUGUAAUAUUUGUUUUAUUAAUUGAUUUUUGUCAUCAUCAUCAUCAUCUUCAAAGUAAAAACAACAUCACCAUCAACAGUCAUCGAUAGCCAACAAAAUAAACUGCUGAUGGAUAAAAUAUGUGUUCAGCAUAACGAAAAAACAACGGAAAAUACAGACAUGUCAACCGAUUCGAUCAUCAUCAGCAACCAUAUCCAAUAGUGGCUCAGCACACUCACACACACAUAACGCAGAA